CGUGUAGAUAACAGUCACACGCCAAAUCGUUGUAGACGUUUGACUUGCUGUUCAAAAGCAAAAAUAAGUUCUUGAUAAGAGCAAGUCGGUCAACAGAAAAACCUGAACGCACACAAUUUAGACAAACAAACCACAAAAAAACGUUUGCAAAACUUUGUCACUUGAUUCGGAGACUAUUUGGCAUUUUUCCUAAACAAACUAAGCAGCUUUUAGGGCAGAUGCUAAUGACUGACGGAGUUGAUUCGGCUCUUCAAUUCCCAUCACAGCUGCUGCUAUACGAGUUAUACCAGCGAGAAAGUUCCCAAUGACGACAGUGACCCAGACCAGUGCUGUUCUCAGUUUAUCGCGACUAGUCACAGUUCCCAAUAACCAAUCACAGAUCACUGUUGCCUCCCAAUACAAUUACUAAAUAUCACUAUUUUUAUUAAACAACCACUAAUUACUAUAGUUUCCCAUUGACCAAUCACAGGUGACCGCUAUUUCCCUGCAAUGACCAAUUACUCAUCACAGUUCUCCACAGUUCUCGUCGUUGUUUCCAACAACAAAGUGCAGAUUACCAGUUUCCUAACAAUCGCUGACUGCCACUGUCUCUCGGUGACAACAACCAAUCACAGCUGGGUAAAUAUUUCAAUAACCAAUCACAGACAAUAGUUUCUGUUGACCAAUCACAGACCAGCACUUGUCCUAAUGACCAAUCACUGCUCCCAAUGAUGAAUCACAGAUCAGCGCUAUUUCCAAUGACUAAUCAAACAACAGUUUCCAAGGACCAAUCACAGACCAGCACUGUUCCAAAUGUCAAAUCACAGUUUCCAGCAAUCAAUUACAGAUCAGCACUGAUCACUUUUUUUUUUCCUGUCUCACUUUCCGAUUUUUUGAAGACAGAAAUAAGAGUAACCCUUUUUCCCUUCGCAGAUAUUCCCUGUUUUUAGUCUCUUGUUAAAAAAGUAUUUUGUAAACUAUAUUCUAUUCUACCCCAGAAAGAAAACAAAAUACUUUCCACCUUCAGUUAUUUACAUAUUAUGCAAAUUAUCCGGAUCAAUAGAUUAAUAUGCAAAUGAGCCCGAUGGCGUCAUCACGCAAACUUCUAGUUUUCCAGAAGACUUUAGCAACAAACUGAAGGCGUUCGGACAAAAAUAAAACGAGCACAAGUUCAUUUUAAAAAGAAAAAGAAAAGCUUUAAGAAAAGGUUUAUGCUUUAACAGUAAGAGGGUUUUGAGCUAUGAAGCAAGUGAUCAAAAUGAAGAUGUUGCAAGCAGGAAAAAUGGGCAAGCAUAAGGAUCUGUUUAACAAUUUGUGAAAAUAAUUUGUGAAAAACCACUGGGUCAGAGCAGCUCCAAAACCGCAGGAGGAGGCUCAGUGCUGUUGUUCUCUUCAGUGGCGGUUUCACCGUGCAUCAAUUGGUUGAUAGCAGGAGAUUUUCCACUCCAGUCCAUGUGAAGCAUAUCUUCAUGGAUAUGCAAUAUUGUGCCUACAAGUUUGUGGAAGAACCACAUAUGGCUGGAAAAGUCAGGCGUGCCAACACUUUUGCACCUUGAUUAAUCCAUAAACAGCGUCCAAACCGGGUAAAGCAAACCUCUAUUGCAUGUUUCCUACUUUAUAUUAAUCUUAUAGCUCCAAUGCAAAAUUGAGCACAACAUUUGAAUGAACAAAACUUGAGUCUUAUCCAUGUAAGAACAUUUUAUUAUAUCGUUAGGCUUUUUAAUUUAUUUAUUUAUUUUUUUCUUUCCCCAUAUCAUGCUAUCAUGGCCAUUACUUGUAUCUUCAUUGUAUUAGAAAUGAUCUUCACCCUGCCUAUCUGCCUAAGAAUGCUUUUUUUAAUAAAUGAUUUCUAAAGACAGAUAUAAUAUCAUCUAUUAUUUCUU